rnacentral:rRNA from 1 species
UACAGAGGUCUCAAGCGUUGUUCGGAUUCAUUGGGCGUAAAGGGUGCGUAGGUGGCGCCAUAAGUCAGGUGUGAAAUCUCGGGGCUCAACCUCGAAACUGCACUUGAUACUGUGGUGCUUGAGUACUGGAGAGGAGAUUGGAAUUUACGGUGUAGCAGUGAAAUGCGUAGAUAUCGUAAGGAAGACCAGUGGCGAAGGCGAAUCUCUGGACAGUUACUGACACUGAGGCACGAAGGCCAGGGGAGCAAAACGGG